rnacentral:misc_RNA from 1 species
GCCGGAUACACUCUUUAAAACAAAAUCCCGCCUCGUAAAGUUCCUUCAUUAAACGUCGAAGGUGGCCCAUAAAAUCGGUGAUUCCGAGAGGUGUUCGCGCGAGAAGAGAGAGAAGGCGCCAGGUCGUGGAAGAAUGAACGGAGGGAAGAGCUGCCUGCCGGAGACCAGGUAUAAUGGCGUAAUUAUGAUACCGAUGUAGUAUGCAACAUCGUACAG